rnacentral:rRNA from 1 species
AGAGUUUGAUCAUGGCUCAGAACGAACGCUGGCGGCUGGCCUAACACAUGCAAGUCGAACGGACGUAGCAAUACGUUAGUGGCGCACGGGAGAGUAAUGUGUGGGAACCUGCCUUUUGGUUUGGGAUAACAUCGGGAAACUGGUGCUAAUACCGGAUAAGCCCCACGGGGGAAAGAUUUAUCGCCGAAAGAUGGGCCCAC